rfam:TPA: Bos taurus chromosome 16, whole genome shotgun sequence.
UCCCUGGUUGCUCAGGCGGUAAAGAGUCUGCCUGCAGUGCGGGAGACCCAGGUUCGAUCCCUGGUUCGGGAA